UACGUAGGGGGCAAGCGUUGUCCGGAUUUAUUGGGCGUAAAGAGCGUGUAGGCGGCUUUACAGGUCCGUUGUGAAAACUCGAGGCUCAGCCUCGAGACGCCGGUGGAAACCGUAAAGCUAGAGUCCGGAAGAGGAGAGUGGAAUUCCUGGUGUAGCGGUGAAAUGCGCAGAUAUCAGGAGGAACACCCGUGGCGAAAGCGGCUCUCUGGGACGGUACUGACGCUGAGACGCGAAAGCGUGGGGAGCAAACAGG
rnacentral:rRNA from 1 species